rnacentral:rRNA from 1 species
UGGGGAAUAUUGCACAAUGGGCGCAAGCCUGAUGCAGCCAUGCCGCGUGUAUGAAGAAGGCCUUCGGGUUGUAAAGUACUUUCAGCGGGGAGGAAGGGAGUAAAGUUAAUACCUUUGCUCAUUGACGUUACCCGCAGAAGAAGCACCGGCUAACUCCGUGCCAGCAGCCGCUGUAAUACGGAGGGUGCAAGCGUUAAUCGGAAUUACUGGGCGUAAAGCGCACGCAGGCGGUCUGUCAAGUCGGAUGUGAAAUCCCCGGGCUUAACCUGGGAACUGCAUUCGAAACGGGCAGGCUAGAGUCUUGUAGGGGAGGGUAGAAUUCCAGGUGUAGCGGUGAAAUGCGUAGAGAUCUGGAGGAAUACCGGUGGCGAAGGCGGCCCCCUGGACAAAGACUGACGCUCAGGUGCGAAAGCGUGGGGAGCAAACAGG